AUGCAAUUUUAACAAUAUUAUGCCUUAGUUUAUCAUUUACACACGUGCAUCACAACUUACAGAUCACAGUGACAAGUACAAAGACACAAAACAUUUAGUAACAGGCAGAAUAUUAUUGAAAUUGCACUAGCUUAUUAUUUGUGAAAGGAUCAGGGUGCUUGUGUAGGUCUUGAAAGUCUUAAAAAGUAUGGAAUUUUGAAACAUUUUGUGUGAAAGUUUUAAUAAAAAUAUGCUGAAAUGCACAAAAUUUUGUUGGAUAAGAAAUACACAAGGAAAGUAUCUAAAAGUUUGAUAUUAUUUCACUAACCGGUCAGUACUGGAAUGUUUCUAGUGAAACUUGUUUGAGUGAUAUUCAUGCACUUUUGUGAUUUUCUUAUAUUCUGAAAGUGUUUCUGUCAGUAACACAUAAUUUACUGCAAAUUAUACAUUCAUUCAUUCAUAUGUUUAUUAAAAUGAACUUUUGUACUUCACACAACUACAGAAGAUAAUUAGGGCCCCUGGGGAAAAAAAAA